GCAAGUUAAAGGAACCGGCCAAAACUGCAGAGGGAGAGGCUGAAGGCUGUCGCGCCUGCCUGGUGUCCUUAAGCAAUCCAAGUCCUCAGUCUCCCGGGUCCGCCCCUUCCGCCGCGGGCGGCAGCUUCCGGCUCGCGCAUGCGCAGUGUUCGCGGACUCGCCGCCAACGCCCAGUACAGUCGGGGACGAGUCCAAGAGGCCCUUUGCCAAUUCCAACUGGAACAUCCAACAUCGGACACUAAUCCAGCCAACUGCCAUAACUACAGCUUUGAUUAGACAAGAGACUGAUUUCAACAACUUUCUCCUGAUAAGAAGAUCAUGGACUAUGGAAUGGACUGGUUCUGGUUUACAGAGGCUGUGUACUUGCGUGCCUUGAUGUCCUGAAAGACCUUUUGACAGAUAGGGCCUAAUGGUAAUACAUUUAAAUGUCAAGUCACCAUCCCAAA
ensembl:lncRNA SETD4-AS1 SETD4 antisense RNA 1